rnacentral:rRNA from 1 species
ACGAACGCUGGCGGCGUGCUUAACACAUGCAAGUCGAACGGAAAGGCCCUGCUUUUGUGGGGUGCUCGAGUGGCGAACGGGUGAGUAACACGUGAGUAACCUGCCCUUGACCUUGGGAUAACUUCAGGAAACUGGGGCUAAUACCGGAUAGGAGCUCCUGCCGCAUGGUGGGGGUUGGACAGUUUCGGCGGUUGGGGAUGGACUCGCGGCUUAUCAGCUUGUUGGUGGGGUAGUGGCUUACCAAGGCUUUGACGGGUAGCCGGCCUGAGCGGGUGACCGGCCACAGUGGGACUGAGAUACGGCCCAGACUCCUACGGGAGGCAGCAGUGGGGAAUAGUGAACAAUGGGCGGAAGCCUGAUGCAGCAACGCCGCGUGCGGGAUGACGGCCUUCGGGUUGUAAACCGCUUUCGCCUGUGACGAAGCGUGAGUGACGGUAAUGGGUAAAGAAGCACCGGCUAACUACGUG